rnacentral:rRNA from 1 species
AUACGGAGGAUCCGAGCGUUAUCCGGAUUUAUUGGGUUUAAAGGGUGCGCAGGCGGCCAUUUAAGUCAGCGGUUAAAUCGUGGGGCUCAACCCCAUUCUGCCGUUGAUACUGGGUGGCUUGAUUGCGGUCGAGGUUGGCGGAAUUCGUUGUGUAGCGGUGAAAUGCAUAGAUAUGACGAAGAACACCGAUUGCGUAGGCAGCUGACCAGACCGCAAAUGACGCUCAUGCACGAAAGUGCGGGGAUCGAACAGGAUUAGAUACCCUGGUAGUCCGCACAGUAAACGAUGAAUACUUGUUUUCGGCGAUAUAAUGUCGGAGGCAAAGCGAAAGCGAUAAGUAUUCCGCCUGGGGAGUACGCCGGCAACGGUGAAACUCAAAGGAAUUGACGGGG